GUGAGGAAUCUUGCGCAAUGGGGGAAACCCUGACGCAGCAACGCCGUGUGAGUGAUGAAGGCCUUCGGGUCGUAAAGCUCUGUUAGGUGGAAAGAAAAGUGCUCGACCAAUACUCGAGCUGCUUGACGGUACCACCAGAGGAAGCACCGGCCAACUCCGUGCCAGCAGCCGCGGUAAUACGGAGGGUGCAAGCGUUGUUCGGAAUUACUGGGCGUAAAGAGCGUGUAGGCGGCUAACUAAGUCAGAUGUGAAAUCCCUGGGCUCAACCCAGGAAGUGCAUUUGAAACUAAUUAGCUAGAGUACGAGAGAGGAAGGUGGAAUUCCUGGUGUAGAGGUGAAAUUCAUAGAUAUCGGGAAGAAUACCGGUGGCGAAGGCGGCCUUCUGGCUCGAUACUGACGCUGAGACGCGAAAGCGUGGGGAGCAAACAGGAUUAGAUACCCUAGUAGUCC
rnacentral:rRNA from 1 species